GUACUCUCACACUCUCUGAUCCUUUGGAUUUGGGGAGCGGUGGACUUGGGUGCUUGCUGCUUUCUAUGUGGCUCACCUCAAAUGUGUUAGUGCAUCUCUUGAUUGGACAUAGUACGGCGUGAUAAGUGUCUUCGCCGGCGCCUUGAAAGAGGGUGGCUAAUUGGGAGCUCUGUGCUUCUUAAACUGUCUUCGGACAAUAUCUGACA
rnacentral:misc_RNA from 1 species